rnacentral:rRNA from 1 species
GAUGAACGCUAGCUACAGGCCUAACACAUGCAAGUCGAGGGUCCGGCGCUCGGGUGAGUAACACGUACCCAACCUGCCCUUUACUUGGGGAUAGCCUUUCGAAAGUAAGACUGAUACCUGAUAUAUAGGUCGGGGAGGCGUUCCUUUAGGUUGUUGGUGCGGAAACAGCCCACCAAGACUUCGAUGGAUGGGGGUUCUGAGAGGAAGGUCACCCACAUUGGAACUGAGACACGGUCCAAACUCCUACGGGAGACAGCAGUGAAGAGUAAUGAUGAAGGGGCGCUAGCCUGAACCAGCCAAGUAUGGUGAAGGAUGAAGGGUUAGGGGUCGUAAACUUCUUUUAUAGAAGGAUAUGUAUUAUAUGAAUAAGGAUCGGCUAACUCCGAGCCAGCAGCCGCGGUAAUUC